GACAGCACAUUUAAAUACUCAACAAAAACAGGAUAUAAAACACGGAUAUACGGUCGCUGGUUUUCAUUGGUCGAAUCGACUAGUUUAAGGUGAACUCACCUUGUUUUAUUUACAUCUGUACUGUGUAUACAUCCCUGAACACAGACUAUCGCCGCCAGGCACAUUCAUCGUAAAACAGAUUGAAAGUAUGGAGAUAUUAUUCAUAAGUUUUCUGGGUGUUGUUGCAGUUGCUGCUUCAUCAUACGAAAGGAACUGUCCACCGGGUCCUGGAAUAAUUCAGCGUUGUGACCAGGUUCCAUGGUAACCGAUAUUAGAGUGCAGGAAAACAGGAUGUCCACCAGGAAAAGUGUGCUGUUCUGCGGGUGCAGCAGCGAUCCAGUUGUUAUAGAUCCAUAACACAGA